CUACGGGAGGCAGCAGUAAGGAAUAUUGGUCAAUGGACGCAAGUCUGAACCAGCCAUGCCGCGUGGAGGAUGAAGGCCCUCUGGGUUGUAAACUUCUUUUAUCUGGGACGAAACCCAUCCAUUCUUGGGUGAUUGACGGUACCAGAGGAAUAAGCACCGGCUAAUUCCGUGCCAGCAGCCGCGGUAAU
rnacentral:rRNA from 1 species